UACGAAGGGGGCUAGCGUUGUUCGGAAUUAUUGGGCGUAAAGAGCUCGUAGGCGGUCUGUUGCGUCCGCUGUGAAAACUCGGGGCUUAACCCCGAGCCUGCAGUGGAUACGGGCAGACUAGAGGUAGGUAGGGGAGAAUGGAAUUCCCGGUGUAGCGGUGAAAUGCGCAGAUAUCGGGAGGAACACCGGUGGCGAAGGCGGUUCUCUGGGACGGUACUGACGCUGAGGUGCGAAAGCGUGGGGAGCGAACGGG
rnacentral:rRNA from 1 species